rnacentral:rRNA from 1 species
UACCAGCACCCCGAGUGGUUGGGACGAUUAUUGGGCCUAAAGCAUCCGUAGCCGGUCCUACAAGUCUUCCGUUAAAUCCACCUGCUUAACAGAUGGGCUGCGGAAGAUACUAUAGGGCUAGGAGGCGGGAGAGGCAAGCGGUACUCAGUGGGUAGGGGUAAAAUCCUCUGAUCCAUUGAAGACCACCAGUGGCGAAGGCGGCUUGCCAGAACGCGCUCGACGGUGAGGGAUGAAAGCUGGGGGGAGCAAACCGG